rnacentral:rRNA from 1 species
CGCGUAGGCGGAUUGGAAAGUUGGGGGUGAAAUCCCGGGGCUCAACCCCGGAACUGCCUCCAAAACUAUCAGUCUAGAGUUCGAGAGAGGUGAGUGGAAUUCCGAGUGUAGAGGUGAAAUUCGUAGAUAUUCGAGGAACACCAGUGGCGAAGGCGGCUCACUGGCUCGAUACUGACGCUGAGGUGCGAAAGUGUGGGGAGCAAACA